rnacentral:rRNA from 1 species
AUUGAACGCUGGCGGCAUGCCUUACACAUGCAAGUCGAACGGCAGCACGGGAGCAAUCCUGGUGGCGAGUGGCGAACGGGUGAGUAGAGUAUCGGAACGUGCCCAGUCGUGGGGGAUAACGUAGCGAAAGUUACGCUAAUACAGAAUACGAUAUCUGGAUGAAAGCGGGGGAUCGAAAGACCUCGCGCGAUUGGAGCGGCCGAUAUCAGUUUAGAGAGUUGGAGGGGUAAGGGCUCACGAAGCCGACGAUCUGUAGCUGGUGUGAGAGGACUAACAGCCACUCUGGGACUGAGACACGGCCCAGAGUCCUACGGGAGGCAGCAGUAGGGAAUUUUGGACAAUUGGCGCAAGCCUGAUCCAGCCAUGCCGCGUGCAGGAUGAAUGCCUUCGGGUUGUAAACUGCUUUUGUACGGAACGAAAAGGUUUGGCUUAAUACGUUGAACUCAUUACGGUACCGUAAGAAUAAGCACCGGCUAACUACGUGCCAGCCGCCGCAGUAA